rnacentral:lncRNA from 1 species
AUUUUCCUUGAGUAAUAAUUAAGAUCGUCUAUAAUUAUGAAAUUUAUCAAUCUAUUAUUCUAUGUUAUGCUCAUAAUCAAAACACAAUGGGCGUUGAAAGCCAAAAAGUAUGCCAACUUUCUCAAAAGAUUGUGUGACCCAUGUAAAUAUAAAGAGAGAGAGAGUGUAGACCCAUGUGUUGAUCUAAAGUAGUUAAGAUCAAAUUACAAGAGAGAAAGAAAAAUAUUUUCUCUAUAAAAUAUGACACGUCUCACAUGGUAGAUUAUCUAACACAAUAGAUUACUAGCAAGGG